CAUGCUACGCUGAUCGGAAUCCUGAAAAGUAGACGCCACACUAUUAAGCAAUAACAACAAACAACCAAACAGCAAACACACGAACAACGAGCAGCGCAAUAAAAAAAAACGUCAACAGUAUUAUCGAUGAAGAAACUGGUGGAAAUUGAGACUAAAAAGUGCAGAAAAGUCAAGAAAAGCUGCUGCACGUAAAAUCAGAUGAUACCGUGAGACAAAUUCAAGGCGUUAAUUUAGGCACGUAUUGGAAAUAAAAAAAAAAGCUUUCUAGCAUUCCUUUAAUACGCACUGGGAUUUUUCACAGCUGGUGGUUGUAGUAAAUGUCAAACAAGCGCCGUAAACAAAGCGCUGAGUAGGCCGACUGCGAAUUAAAGAGCGCAACACAACGUUUUACGGAGAAACUACAGAGCAACAACGUUGAAGCAACUAGAAGGAAAGAGAAUUUAUCAUAAAUAUUUUUUAAGACAGUGGUUGGAAAUAAAUAUUUCAUUCAUUCACUCUAAUAUAUAGUAUAGGUAUAUGUCCAUUCCCACAUUAAUAUGCAAUGCCACGCUUUCUAUCAAACACAUUUAGUUCAAUAAAUCGUAACAUGAACACUUCCGCACACAACAAGUUUGUAUCUAUUCCCAGGAACGUUAUCUUUAAAGCGUAGGUGGAGCUAAUAAUUUGAUAUUUUGCAAAUUCCAGAGCGUGCGUAUAUCCUAUUACACAUAUACAUACUCCUCCCGACAUCACCGGCAAGUAUACUAGGCAUAUUUGUAAGCUAUUAACUGAAUUUUGACACUUGCUUUUGGUGUGCCCAUUCGCAGCACAUCCUGCCCCAACAUUUAUAUACAAAUUAUUGGUUCCUUUUUUCGCGUACUCCCAGUAUUCAAUUCAUACCCGCCAC